rnacentral:rRNA from 1 species
GAUGAACGCUGGCGGCGUGCCUAAUACAUGCAAGUCGAGCGAACAGACGAGGAGCUUGCUCCUCUGACGUUAGCGGCGGACGGGUGAGUAACACGUGGAUAACCUACCUAUAAGACUGGGAUAACUUCGGGAAACCGGAGCUAAUACCGGAUAAUAUAUUGAACCGCAUGGUUCAAUAGUGAAAGACGGUUUUGCUGUCACUUAUAGAUGGAUCCGCGCCGCAUUAGCUAGUUGGUAAGGUAACGGCUUACCAAGGCAACGAUGCGUAGCCGACCUGAGAGGGUGAUCGGCCACACUGGAACUGAGACACGGUCCAGACUCCUACGGGAGGCAGCAGUAGGGAAUCUUCCGCAAUGGGCGAAAGCUUGACGGAGCAACGCCGCGUGAGUGAUGAAGGUCUUCGGAUCGUAAAACUCUGUUAUUAGGGAAGAACAAAUGUGUAAGUAACUAUGUACGUCUUGACGGUACCUAACCAGAAAGCCACGGCUAACUACGUG